AGAGUUUGAUCCUGGCUCAGGAUGAACGCUAGCGGCAGGCCUAAUACAUGCAAGUCGAACGGCAAGUUGAAUAGCAAUAUUUGACCUAGAGUGACGUACGGGUGCGUAACACGUAUGCAACCUACCCAUAACUGGAGGAUAGCUCCCCGAAAGGGGAAUUAACCCUCCAUAGUAUAAUUGAGUGGCAUCACUUGAUUAUUAAAACUCCGGUGGUUAUGGAUGGGCAUGCGUCUGAUUAGUUAGUUGGCGGUGUAACGGACCACCAAGACGAUGAUCAGUAGGGGAACUGAGAGGUUGAUCCCCCACACUGGCACUGAGAUACGGGCCAGACUCCUACGGGAGGCAGCAGUAGGGAAUAUUGGUCAAUGGAUGCAAGUCUGAACCAGCCAUGCCGCGUGCAGGAAGAAGGCCCUAUGGGUUGUAAACUGCUUUUGCCAGGGGAUAAAAUGAGCUUGCGAGCUUAAUUGAAGGUACCUGGUGAAUAAGCCACGGCUAACUACGUGCCAGCAGCCGCGGUAAUACGUAGGUGGCAAGCGUUGUCCGGAUUUAUUGGGUUUAAAGGGUGCGUAGGCGGUCCUAUAAGUCAGUGCUGAAAUAUCCCGGCUUAACCGGGAGGGUGGCAUUGAUACUGCAGGACUUGAGUAAGGUUGAGGUUGGCGGAAUUGACGGUGUAGCGGUGAAAUGCUUAGAUAUCGUCAAGAACACCUAUUGCGAAGGCAGCUAACUAAGCUUUAACUGUCGCUGAGGCACGAAAGUGUGGGGAUCAAACAGGAUUAGAUACCCUGGUAGUCCACACUGUAAACGUUGAUUACUCGCUGUUGGCGAUACACAGCCAGCGGCUUAGCGCAAGCGAUAAGUAAUCCACCUGGGGAGUACGCCGGCAACGGUGAAACUCAAAGGAAUUGACGG
rnacentral:rRNA from 1 species